rnacentral:lncRNA from 10 species
AAAAAAUAAAAGUAGCAGUCUUCAACUUUUUGGCACCAGGGACCAGUUUCAUGGAAGACAAUUUUUCCACCGACUGGCGGGGGAUAGGGGUGGGGUGAUUUCAGAAUGAUUCGAGCCCAUUACAUUUAUUGUGCACUUUAUUUCUAUUAUUAUUACAUUGUAAUAUAUAAUGAAAUAAUUAUACAGCUCACCACAAUGUAGAAUCAGUGGGAUCCCUGAGCUUGUUUUCCUGCAACUAGAUGGUCCCAUCUGGGGGUGAUGGAAGACAAUGAUGGAUCAUCAGGCAUUAGAUUCUCAUAAGGGUCAAACAACCUAGAUCCCUCGUACACGAAGUUCAAGCUCCUAUGAGAAUCUAAUGCCGCAGCUGAUCUGAUAGGAGGUGGAGCUCAGGCAGUAAUGCAAGCGAUGAGGAGUGGCUGCAAACACAGAUGAAGUUUAGCUUGCUAGCCUGCCGCUCACCUCCUGCUAUGUGACCCGCUUCCUAACAGACCAGUAUGGGUCCAUGGCCUGGGGGUUGGGGAACCCUGCUUUAUAGUAUGCCAAUUUACAUUCUCACCAAUCACGCAGGAAAGUUUCAAUUGCUCCCCAGCCUUGCCAAUACUUGGUACUGUCAGUCAUCUUAAUUUUAGCCAUUCUGGUGGGUGGGUAGUGGGAUUGCAAUGUUGUAUCAAUUUGCGUGUCUCUGAUCACUAAAGGAGGUUGAGUAUCUUUUCGUUUCCUUAUUGGACAUUGGAUAGCCUUUUGUGAAAUUCUUAAGUGUCAUGUCCAUUUUUCUUUUCUGUAGUCUUUUUCUUAUUGAUUUGUAGAAGUUCUUUUAGAUUUUGCCUGUGAGUCCUUUUUGGAUACGUGUAUUACAAAUAUCUCCCUCCAUGCUAAAGUUUCCCUUUUCAUUCACUGAUAGUCUUUUUUUGGUAAUAGAUGGUCUUAAUUGCAUUGUAGUCAGCUUUCUCGAUUUCCUUCUUCUCUUGCCUCUUGGCCCUAUUUACUACCUUGCAACUUUCCCGUGUCUUUAAAUAGAUUCUAAAAAAAUAGUUUCUCCAGCUUUUCUAGAUGCUCCCAAUGGAAGAACUGGGCAGAACUUCCUCAGGCAAUCAUCAUUAAUUUGUAUGGUUCUUUCUUCUGGCAUUUUCAUACUUCUAAAUAUAUAUAUUUGGAACACUAUUUCUUGAUUUAAUAUUGUAGACUUUUUUGUAAUCAAUUUUACAUUGUGGUACAUGAGCAUUUAACUAUCUUAAACUUUUACUCCACAGUCUCUUGUCCUCUUAACGUGGUUCUUUCAUGAUUUAAAACUUCAAACCGCAUUUGCUUUACAUAAUAUCAAGACUCUCUAAAACAUUCUUCACUGCAAGUGCACGUGGUUGGCAAGGGAUUUUCAGAGUCAGUUGUAUUUGGCAUGAGUGGGAUUCUCUUUGAAGUUUUCAGCAGCUCUAGUCAAUAUUCUAGAUCUUUCCAGAAUAGUUGCAGUUUCAACUACAGAAAGCUCUAGCCAUUCUGAGAUUGAACUGUGGUAGUUUCUCACCAUUUUGGAGUGACCCCAGAGGUCUGUGCUAUGUGGAAUUUAUCUAUUUCCUGAGGCCUGGCUUUGAAUCACUGCGCCAUGGAAGACAGGGCAGUCACUUAGCAACCAGUGUCUCAGCAGACUCCCCAGGGCCCACUUCCCAAUGUGGCUCCGUUGGGCCUUCCUUUUGCCAUGUACACAGCAAGUCUUGUGACGUGAUAAAGACUUGGGAAAAUGGCCUCAAAAAGAAUUCCAACUGCUGGGCCUGACCAUGGGAAAGAAGACAAAAGAAUUUUAGUAAGUUUUGGAUCUUUGCCAGAAAAGGGAAGUUUUGAAAUAGAGUGGUAUGUUGAAACUAACAGUGGCUAGGAUGUAGACAUGAACAGGUCCCCCAUACACUCUAUACAGAGACCACAAAAGAUGCCUUUUAAAUGUGUUUCAUUAGGAAAAUUACCUGUAAUUCGUGUUUUUAAAUAAGAAGAUUAGAAAAGGCUGUGGGAUAGACUCCUUUCCUAUGUUGAGAGUUAUCUGUGUUUCAGCUUGUUCUUCCUGUAAAGACACCUGCACUUGUCAUUUUACAUGUCCCAGGUUUGGUUUGGAAAACAGAGUCAUAGCGAUGGUCACCCAAACCAAGGGAGGUCCCUGGUGUAGCACUACCUCCAACCCCUAGCCGGACUAGGAAACCCCUUUCCCUAGGAGUCCUGUUCAUACAAGGUGUUCUGACCAGGAGAUUUCUUCAGUGUCCUGGGUGCCCCUCCCACCCCCUAGAGCUGGGGGAAAACCAUGGCUGAGCAGCAGGUGGGACAGGAGGGCAUGAAACCGAGCAGAGUGGUCUUUCCACAGUCUUCCUGAUUUGCGGUUAUACCUGUUACUGACACAGUAUACUUUUGUUUUGUCUCCUUCCUUCUUUUUUUUUUUUUUUGAGUUAGGAUCUCGCUCUGUCACCCAGGAGUGCAGUAGUGCCAUCUUGGCUCACUGCAAUCUCCGCCUCUUGGGUUCGAGGAAUUCUCCUGCCUCAGCCUCCCUAGUAGCUGGGAUUACAGGUGUGCACCACCACACCCAGCUAAUUUUUGUAUUUUUAGUAGAAACGGGGUUUCACCAUGUUGGGCAGGCUGGUCUCAAACUCCUGACCUCAAGUGAUUGGCCCACCUUAGCCUCCCAAAGUGCUGGGAUUACAGGCAUGAGCCACCAGUGCCUGGCCCUGUUUUACUGUAUUUCUUAGCACAGGGUUCCAGGAGACCUUAUUCACUGCAAAUUCAUGUGGGUUCUGUUUUCCUCCCCACCCCCUCAGCUCUCCAUUCUAGCCCCGUUCCUAGCUGCUAAUCCAGGCUGCCACUGUCCCACUACCCAGGAGGCCUGUGCCAUGCCUGGCCAUUUGAAAUAGUGUUCAGGGGUGUCUGACAGCCUGUGGUCUCCUGCCCUUUUCAGCUUACCACUCAGCACCUCCAUGGAUAUCUUGCUCUCUCAG